GAUCAUGGCUCAGAUUGAACGCUGGCGGCAGGCCUAACACAUGCAAGUCGAACGGUAACAGGAAGCAGCUUGCUGCUUUGCUGACGAGUGGCGGACGGGUGAGUAAUGUCUGGGAAACUGCCUGAUGGAGGGGGAUAACUACUGGAAACGGUAGCUAAUACCGCAUAACGUCGCAAGACCAAAGAGGGGGACCUUCGGGCCUCUUGCCAUCGGAUGUGCCCAGAUGGGAUUAGCUAGUAGGUGGGGUAAUGGCUCACCUAGGCGACGAUCCCUAGCUGGUCUGAGAGGAUGACCAGCCACACUGGAACUGAGACACGGUCCAGACUCCUACGGGAGGCAGCAGUGGGGAAUAUUGCACAAUGGGCGCAAGCCUGAUGCAGCCAUGCCGCGUGUAUGAAGAAGGCCUUCGGGUUGUAAAGUACUUUCAGCGGGGAGGAAGGGAGUAAAGUUAAUACCUUUGCUCAUUGACGUUACCCGCAGAAGAAGCACCGGCUAACUCCGUGCCAGCAGCCGCGGUAAUACGGAGGGUGCAAGCGUUAAUCGGAAUUACUGGGCGUAAAGCGCACGCAGGCGGUUUGUUAAGUCAGAUGUGAAAUCCCCGGGCUCAACCUGGGAACUGCAUCUGAUACUGGCAAGCUUGAGUCUCGUAGAGGGGGGUAGAAUUCCAGGUGUAGCGGUGAAAUGCGUAGAGAUCUGGAGGAAUACCGGUGGCGAAGGCGGCCCCCUGGACGAAGACUGACGCUCAGGUGCGAAAGCGUGGGGAGCAAACAGGAUUAGAUACCCUGGUAGUCCACGCCGUAAACGAUGUCGACUUGGAGGUUGUGCCCUUGAGGCGUGGCUUCCGGAGCUAACGCGUUAAGUCGACCGCCUGGGGAGUACGGCCGCAAGGUUAAAACUCAAAUGAAUUGACGGGGGCCCGCACAAGCGGUGGAGCAUGUGGUUUAAUUCGAUGCAACGCGAAGAACCUUACCUGGUCUUGACAUCCACGGAAGUUUUCAGAGAUGAGAAUGUGCCUUCGGGAACCGUGAGACAGGUGCUGCGUGGCUGUCGUCAGCUCGUGUUGUGAAAUGUUGGGUUAAGUCCCGCAACGAGCGCAACCCUUAUCCUUUGUUGCCAGCGGUCCGGCCGGGAACUCAAAGGAGACUGCCAGUGAUAAACUGGAGGAAGGUGGGGAUGACGUCAAGUCAUCAUGGCCCUUACGACCAGGGCUACACACGUGCUACAAUGGCGCAUACAAAGAGAAGCGACCUCGCGAGAGCAAGCGGACCUCAUAAAGUGCGUCGUAGUCCGGAUUGGAGUCUGCAACUCGACUCCAUGAAGUCGGAAUCGCUAGUAAUCGUGGAUCAGAAUGCCACGGUGAAUACGUUCCCGGGCCUUGUACACACCGCCCGUCACACCAUGGGAGUGGGUUGCAAAAGAAGUAGGUAGCUUAACCUUCGGGAGGGCGCUUACCACUUUGUGAUUCAUGACUGGGGUGAAGUCGUAACAAGGUAACCGUAGGGGAACCUGCGGUUGGAUCACCU
rnacentral:rRNA from 1 species